UUUUCACCUAAGAAACGACAGAGAAGCUUGUUUUCCGCAACACAAAUGAAGAAAAACAUCGUAGCCAUAAGUGGCGUAUUUAAAAAAAAAUAAUGGCAUGAGCCAGCUUACCCCGCUGGUGCGUCUUAAACAGGUUUCCUCUAGUUUAUUAAUCUUUAUUUCCAGCCGGAAAACGACUUCCAACGGCAACUGGUGGGCCAAAACAUUAUUAAGGGCAGUAAAACAUUCAGAUUCUUCAUAUUACGUGUGUCUGCUAUAAAUAAAGUUGAUUAUAUCUAACAAAAUCAUUCAAAAGUUUUGAAUUUAGAAAAUUUGAAUGAUUACAACCAUACAUUGAACCGAACAUUUGAAGGUUUCUAGAAUAUAUUUUUUUUCAGAUUUAUGGUUUUCCAGCAAUUGAGUUUGCUGAUCGUUUCAAGCAAUUCAUAUUUCUGGAAAUUUUGCUGGAAAACCAGCGGGACAAAACAAUUAAAAGUUUGCUGCUUUCCAGCAAAAAAAAAAUGCUGUUUUUGGACAUUUUGGUGAAAUAUGGAAUUCGAAGUAGAAUCAUUAGACAGGAAAGAUAGUACUGAUAAGCAGAGGUGCAAAGCAUCGCAUCAUUUUGCAUGCAGCGUUCGACUUUUUCCCGACCAGAUCAAACUAACUUUAUCUUCGGAAGCGUCGGCUUGCGAACAUAGCACGCCGACUUUUGAUUGCAAAUGAACGCAUCGCAACGACGCUGUGGCACGAUUGGUUCAAAUGACUGCAUCUCUUAAGUUCAUUCCGAUGCUUUGCGAACAGUUCGCCUACUGAUUUUAAGGCGACGUCAACCGAAGGAUCCGUUCGUUUGAAUUCAUCGGGGAUAAGUUCAAACAACCUUAUCGAGAUAGGGUCGUUUGAACGUUCAAUUGAAUGUUCACUUUUGAACGUUCAAUUGAAUGUUCGUCUGACGCGUUCGGCAGCCUAAGGCAAGACGCCGAGCCGUGUUUGGAUGGGAUGGAUUAUUGAUAUGGUGCAUUGCUUGCGUGUGAUGUUCGGUCGUCGCUCGACGAUAGAGGGUGUCGGGUGUCUUGUAGCGCGCGGACGACUUGGUAAAGAGAAUGAGGCGCAGCUACAGUUUCAUUUAACGGUGCAAUUUUACUGAAUAAAAUGCCCGAAUAGCAAAGACCAUGGUAAUAAUAUAUCGUAACAAUGAUUUUAAAUUUAACAGUAAACUUCAUAGUGAUUUCAAAAUAUUUAUCAACCGGUUUAAAUUUUGAAAAUACCAUGAUUUUUAAAGUUACCGUGAAGUAUAUCAUUAAUUCAAAAUAUUUCAAAGUUGCAAAUAUUUCAAAAACACGAACAUCGUACGGUAUCACAUUGAAAUUCUUGUGAUUUUUAUUGUACCAGUGUUCUUCAUGGUUGAAUGAUAAUCCGAACCACGCGAAAAUUGGUAAUUUUUUGCUUUUUUACACAUUUACAUUUUUUCGUGUAAUGAAAAUUUUGGCGCUCUAAAAACGUCACUUUCUCUCGGAGGAAGUUAACUUAAAUUUAAAUUUUCGCGGUCGGAAUCAGUGAAUCCGGACCAAGUCGAAAUCAAGCUGAUCGGAAUCUGAACAGAAAAUGAUGGCUUUAAAUUCGGUGAUCUUGAAGCUGACGGAAAUUCAAAGUUCCCCAUGGCCAACUUUAGAUGUGGGCCGUAUACAAUGGCUGCGACGUGGACAAGAUAGACGUCCGAGGCAAACCGAUAUCAAACGGAUUUGUGGUCUGGUACUUCAUGAUGUGCAGGAAUCCAGCCUUGUCCCAGGAUCGGGCAGAAGAUGCGGUACAAGAGCCGCCAAUGUUACAGUUUAGAAGCUCCGUAGUGCAGAUGGUUUUUAUAGCUUCUGGAAAGUGAUGAUUUUUUUUUAAACAAGACGAAAAAUUUGAAUAAAAAUUGAAGCAAACAAAUGAAACCUGUUUAUUUCAUUCAAUAGUAAAUAUGAAUUUAGAAGAAAAAAUAACUGAAAACAAUAAUUUUUACCAUGGAAUUUCACGGUCCUGGAAUUAUGAUAAAUUGUGAAUUAAAAUUGAUGUUCAAGAUUAUUGAACGAUUGAAAUUCAAGGGAAAACAAUGAACUCCACAGUUUCUUUGAAAAAAGUGGAAGCUGUAAUAACCGUUAACUUUAUCGUUUUGAGUUUCCAAAUGUAUGGGAAAAAGUCGAUUUUUUCAUUGUUAAGUUGCUUAACAACCCCCUUUUUUCAUGGUAACCAUAAAUUUCACUGUCCAAAACUAUGAAUUUGACAGUUUAUUCAAGGUUUUAUGUACCAUGAUUCGCAUAGUUUCAACUAUAAAAUUCAUGGUUGCGUGAAAAUGAAAUUCAUGGUCUUUUCACAAUGUUUUUCUAUUCGGGUGCAAACCGCCCAACUACGGUUGGGCUUGUAAGGCUUGUAAGAGAUUGUUUAUUCUUUUUCAUUCCAUGUUAGGUUCAGAACUGAAGCAAACCGUCAAGACCCGCGAAAUUUAAUUCAAAUUU